GUGGGGAAUAUUGGACAAUGGGCGCAAGCCUGAUCCAGCCAUGCCGCGUGAGUGAUGAAGGCCCUAGGGUUGUAAAGCUCUUUCACCGGUGAAGAUAAUGACGGUAACCGGAGAAGAAGCCCCGGCUAACUUCGUGCCAGCAGCCGCGGUAAUACGAAGGGGGCUAGCGUUGUUCGGAAUUACUGGGCGUCAAGCGCACGUAGGCGGACAUUUAAGUCAGGGGUGAAAUCCCGGGGCUCAACCACGGAACUGCCUGUGAUACUGGGUGUCUGGAGUAUGGAAGAGGUAAGUGGAAUUCCGAGUGUAGAGGUGAAAUUCGUAGAUAUUCGGAGGAACACCAGUGGCGAAGGCGGCUUACUGGUCCAUUACUGACGCUGAGGUGCGAAAGCGUGGGGAGCAAACAGGAUUAGAUACCCGUGUAGUCC
rnacentral:rRNA from 1 species